AUUGAACGCUGGCGGCAGGCCUAACACAUGCAAGUCGAGCGGAUGAAGGGAGCUUGCUCCUGGAUUCAGCGGCGGACGGGUGAGUAAUGCCUAGGAAUCUGCCUGGUAGUGGGGGAUAACGUCCGGAAACGGGCGCUAAUACCGCAUACGUCCUGAGGGUGAAAGUGGGGGAUCUUCGGACCUCACGCUAUCAGAUGAGCCUAGGUCGUAUUAGCUAGUUGGUGGGGUAAAGGCCUACCAAGGCGACGAUCCGUAACUGGUCUGAGAGGAUGAUCAGUCACACUGGAACUGAGACACGGUCCAGACUCCUACGGGAGGCAGCAGUGGGGAAUAUUGGACAAUGGGCGAAAGCCUGAUCCAGCAAUGCCGCGUGUGUGAAGAAGGUCUUCGGAUUGUAAAGCACUUUAAGUUGGGAGGAAGGGCAGUAAGUUAAUACCUUGCUGUUUUGACGUUACCAACAGAAUAAGCACCGGCUAACUUCGUG
rnacentral:rRNA from 1 species